UGUUACAACAAAUUAUUAUAUAUUUACAACUCGAGAAGUCGGGUGCGGACGCGUCUCCAUUAGAUCGAAUUUCAGUCUUGAUUUAAGUCGGAACUUGUCAUUAUUAAGGCAGAUCAUGGUGAAAGUGCACAUUUUAUAUUGUGGAGGGUGAGGGUACAAGUCCAAGGCCCUCAAUCUGAAGGCCGUGUUGGAAAAGAAGUUGCCUGGCAAGAUAGAAAUGUCUAUGGAAGCAACUCCUGGUACCACCGGCUGGUUUGAGGUGACUGUUGGCGAUAAGCUUGUUCAUUCCAAGAAG